GCUGUUAGAUCAAAAGGGGGAGGAGUUGAGCUUCAGAGAGAAUUGACCUUAAUAAGAUGAUAACUGCAGAAUGUGUUUUUUCUCAAAACAGGUUUAGCUGCUGAAUUUCUGACUUCAUCAAAUGAUCCAGGAGCAAUUAAUGAAUUAAGGAAUGCCUUAAAUGGUUUGGCAUUCAAGUGCCAUUGGAAUCUGGAUAAAAAUGGAUUUUAUGAGAUACUUUUGUAACUAACUAACUAACUGUAACGUAACUCUGUUAACAGAUUGAUUCCUUUCUCUUAGGGAUGGACACACCUGUCUCCUGAACAAGCGAAUGAAUGUGUGUGUAUGCCUGUAGGCUGGCCAGCCGUCGUAUGAAUGAAUGAAUGAACUUACAGGACUGUUUAACCUACAUUUGACCACUGACUUUGUCUUUAAGUGAAAUUGUUUGAAUUGAAGGAGAUUUCAAAACGUUUUCUUUCUUUCAAUCAUUCCAUUUCUUUCAAACAUUCAGCUUCUUUCAAAUCCCAACUCUCAGUUGUUUAUUGGGUUAGUAUGGGUCUGUGGCCUUUUCUUCUAGAUGCAAAUGCCCAGACCUUGCAGGUAACAGGAUGAUGUGAUUUAAGCAAACCUGCUUUUGUCUGAGAUUAGGCUGUCUGCAGUCUUUCACACCCAAUACCAAAUGUCUAUUGUCUGAUGUGUUGAGUAUGCUAACAGGCUUCCUGCCUCAUGGAGGUGUUGGCCGGUAUUAUCUUUUUCUGAGAUCUCGUUACAGACAGUUUUUAGGAAUAUGGAGAAUAGCGAUGACAAAAAAGGAAGCAGCUUCUCACCAAGGUCUCGAAAGGGGGACCAUUCCAGAAAAUCAACAGAUGAAGGAACAGCAGAAUCGUUUGAACUUCAAACAAACGCCAUGCAGCAUCUGGCCAGGAC
ensembl:lncRNA